AAAGCAGGCUUCGGAUCCCUGAAAAGAUACUUAUGAGGGCCAAAUGAGAAAAUGAAUAUGAAAGUGCUUUCAGAAUUGAAAGUCGUGUCUUGCCUCCUACUCCUGGUAUGAGGAUGCUGUUGACAUAGCUAUGCAGCUGAUUUGAAGAUACUUCAGUC